UUGGAGGGCAAGUCUGGUGCCAGCAGCCGCGGUAAUUCCAGCUCCAAUAGCGUAUAUUAAAGUUGUUGCAGUUAAAAAGCUCGUAGUUGAAUUUCGGGAUCGAAUUGUUGGUCGUGCCUCGGUACGCACUGGCAUUAUCGGUUCCUACUUUCUGAAGAACCGCGAUGUCAUUAAUUUGGUGUCGUGGGGAAUCAGGACUGUUACUUUGAAAAAAUUAGAGUGUUUAAAGCAGGCUUACGCUUGAAUACAUUAGCAUGGAAUAAUGAAAUAGGACGUUUGAUUCUAUUUUGUUGGUUUCUAGGAUCGACGUAAUGAUUAAUAGGGAUAGUUGGGGGCAUUAGUAUUCAAUUGUCAGAGGUGAAAUUCUUGGAUUUAUUGAAGACUAACUACUGCGAAAGCAUUUGCCAAGGAUGUUUUCAUUAAUCAAGAACGAAAGUUAGGGGAUCGAAGACGAUCAGAUACCGUCGUAGUCUUAACCAUAAACUAUGCCGACUAGGGAUCGGAUGGUGUUAAUUUUAUAAUGACUCAUUCGGCGCCUUACGGGAAAC
rnacentral:rRNA from 1 species